CCUUUCCAAGUCCUUCAUUCAAACAUAAACUCAGAGCUUCCUAGGAACCAGGCUCUGUCUAGCUCAGGCCUCUGGCCUGGAGAGCUCUAGAUGUGGCAGAUGUGACUACACGUUCCCUCCCAUGAACUGAAGAUCAGUGGCUGCAGGGCCAGGACCCCACAGGCUUCCUGAGCCCCGCUACAGUGCUCUGUCCCCAUCUGCCAGGGGGGCUUGCUGGACAGGACCUUGCCAUCCAGCUUCGACCUGAGUCAUCUCCUAAAGUCCAAUAAAACCCAGGGACAGAGGCAGGAUGCAGGAAUAAAAAUAAGCUUCAGCCAGAGAGAAAUAAAGGCAGCAGUGUGGGGGAAUCUCGAGAGCAUGGCAGUCCAGGAAUCCGGAGGGGAAAAUGCCCAUAAUGGCGUAUUUUCCAGCAGUGAAAAACAUUAAGACCCACUUUAGAAAUGUAGUUCUCACCACAGCUAUUCCUGGACUCCAGCCCAGAAGAGCAGUAGGGCCAUAUGAAUGACACUCUCCACCCACACUUACCCACUCCCGACUGGCUGGCUGUCUCUGUCCCAAAACAUCUUGUGCUUCUUCCGUGCAGCCUUCCCAGACUUACCCCUCCUCCUUUCUCUCUGUGGCCCAUUACCCUCCCCCGCCACCAGACCCCAUCCUGAUAAGCAUGAGCUACGCUCACUUGCCUCUGUCUCCUUGGAAGCUGAUGGCUUGGA
rnacentral:lncRNA from 10 species